CUACGGGAGGCAGCAGUGGGGAAUAUUGGACAAUGGGCGAAAGCCUGAUCCAGCCAUGCCGCGUGUGUGAAGAAGGUCUUCGGAUUGUAAAGCACUUUAAGUUGGGAGGAAGGGCAGUAAGUUAAUACCUUGCUGUUUUGACGUUACCGACAGAAUAAGCACCGGCUAACUCUGUGCCAGCAGCCGCGGUAAUACAGAGGGUGCAAGCGUUAAUCGGAAUUACUGGGCGUAAAGCGCGCGUAGGUGGUUCGUUAAGUUGGAUGUGAAAGCCCCGGGCUCAACCUGGGAACUGCAUCCAAAACUGGCGAGCUAGAGUACGGUAGAGGGUGGUGGAAUUUCCUGUGUAGCGGUGAAAUGCGUAGAUAUAGGAAGGAACACCAGUGGCGAAGGCGACCACCUGGACUGAUACUGACACUGAGGUGCGAAAAGCGUGGGGAGCAAACCAGGAUUAGAUACCCCUGGUAGUANCACGCCGUAANUCGAUGUCAAGCUACGCCGUUGGAAUCCUUGAGA
rnacentral:rRNA from 1 species